GGAAGCUUAUAAGGGCGUACGGGGGAUGCCUAGGCUCUCAGAGACGACGAAGGACGUGGUAAGCUGCGAAAAGCUGCGGGGAGGUGCAAACGACCGUUAAUCCGUAGAUGUCCGAAUGGGGAAACCCACAUGGUUGAAGACCAUGUACCUCGCAAGAGGAGAGAACCCAGGGAACUGAAACAUCUAAGUACCUGGAGGAGAAGAAAACAAUAGUGAUUCCGCAAGUAGUGGCGAGCGAACGCGGAAGAGCCUAAACCGGUCUGCGUGCAGAUCGGGGUUGUAGGACCGACAAAAAGUUAAUCAAACGAAGUGGAAGGUGUUUGGAAGAUGCCGCCGCAGAGGGUGAAAGCCCCGUACACGAAAGGUUGAUUAAUGGGUUGGGAUCCUGAGUAGGGCGGGACCGGCGAAAUCCUGUCUGAAACUGGCGGCACCAUCCGCUAAGGCUAAAUACUCCUGAGAGACCGAUAGCGAAGUAGUACUGUGAAGGAAAGGUGAAAAGGACCCCAAGAAGGGGAGUGAAAAGACCCUGAAACCGUACGCCUACAAGCGGUCGGAGCUGCACUUCGGUGUAGUGACGGCGUGCCUUUUGCAUAAUGAGCCUACGAGUUACCUUGACAAGCGAGUUUAAGCCCUUCAGGGGCGAAGGCGAAGCGAAAGCGAGUCUUAACAGGGCGAGAGCUUGUUGAGGUAGACGCGAAACCGAGUGAUCUACCCAUGGGCAGGUUGAAGUUCCGAUAAUAUCGGAAUGGAGGACCGAACUGGUAAACGUUGAAAAGUUUUCGGAUGACCUGUGGGUAGGGGCGAAAGACUAAUCAAACUCGGAGAUAUCUCGUACUCCCCGAAAUGCAUUUAGGUGCAGCGUCGCCAAGAGUGUGUCGGAGGUAGAGCUACCAAUAGGGCUAGGGGGCUUCACCGCCUACCAACCCCUGAUGAACUCCGAAUGCCGACACAUUGCAACGGCAGUGAGGCGGUGGGUGCUAAGGUCCAUCGCCGAGAGGGGAACAACCCAGACCAUCGGCUAAGGCCCCGAAGUGAUCGCUAAGUUGAUAGAACGAUGUGGGGAUGCAUUGACAGCUAGGAUGUUGGCUUGGAAGCAGCCAUUCAUUUAAAGAGUGCGUAACAGCUCACUAGUCGAGUGGUUUUGCGCGGAAAAUAAUCGGGCAUCAAGCACACUACCGAAGCUAUGGGAGUAGCGAUACUCGGUAGGGGAGCAUUCUGACUGCGGCGAAGGUGUGCUGUGAGGCAUGUUGGAGCGGUUAGAAAAGCAAAUGUAGGCAUAAGUAGCGAUAAAGCAGGUGAGAAACCUGCUCACCGAAAGACUAAGGUUUCCUGAUCAACGUUAAUCGGGUCAGGGUUAGUCGGGACCUAAGGCGCACCCGCGAGGGGAAGUCGAUGGAAAACGGAUUAAUAUUUCCGUACCGGCUUAUACUGCGAUGUGGGGACGGAGAGGCGUAGCAACUGCGUACUGACGGAAUAGUACGUUAAAGACGGUAGGCUGUGAGAUCUGUAGGCAAAUCCGCAGAUUGAGCUGAGAGUUGACAGUACCGCGAGUUUUCGGACAAGCGGAAAAUGUUGUGAAGCGUGCUUCCAAGAAAAGCCACUAAGCUACAGGUAUAAGGCGCCCGUACCGUAAACCGACACAGGUAGUCGAGGAGAAAAUCCUAAGGUGCUCGAGUGAAUCACGGCUAAGGAACUCGGCAAAAUGGUCUCGUAACUUCGGGAGAAGAGACGCCUACCCAAGCAAUUGGGAGGCCGCAGAGAAUAGGUCCAGGCGACUGUUUAGCAAAAACACAGGACACUGCAAAGCCGGAAGGCGCAGUAUAGUGUCUGACACCUGCCCGGUGCCGGAAGGUUAAGGAAGGGGGUUAGCAGCAAUGCGAAGCUCUUGACUGAAGCCCCGGUAAACGGCGGCCGUAACUAUAACGGUCCUAAGGUAGCGAAAUUCCUUGUCGGGUAAGUUCCGACCUGCACGAAUGGUGUAACGAUCUGGACGCUGUCUCAGCCGUGAGCUCGGUGAAAUUGAAGUAUCGGUGAAGAUGCCGAUUACCCGCAACGGGACGAAAAGACCCCGUGAACCUUUACUAUAGCUUCACAUUGUGUUUGAGUAUAGGAUGUGUAGGAUAGGUGGGAGGCUAUGAAUCUGGCACGCUAGUGUUGGUGGAGCCGCCGUUGAAAUACCACCCUUUCUAUACUUAGAUUCUAACUUUCCUUAUGGAGAGGACAGUGUGUGGUGGGUAGUUUGACUGGGGUGGUCGCCUCCUAAAGAGUAACGGAGGCUUGCAAAGGUACCCUCAGCAUGGACGGUAACCAUGCGAAGAGCGCAUUAGUAGAAGGGUGCUUGACUGAGAGAACGACGGUUCGAACAGGGACGAAAGUCGGCUAAAGUGAUCCGGUGUUUCCGCAUGGAAGGGACAUCGCUCAAAGGAUAAAAGGUACUCCGGGGAUAACAGGCUGAUCUCCCCCAAGAGCUCACAUCGACGGGGAGGUUUGGCACCUCGAUGUCGGCUCGUCACAUCCUGGGGCUGGAGAAGGUCCCAAGGGUUGGGCUGUUCGCCCAUUAAAGUGGCACGCGAGCUGGGUUCAGAACGUCGCAAGACAGUUCGGUCUCUAUCUGUUGUGGGCGUAGGAGUAUUGAGGAGGUCUGGCUCUAGUACGAGAGGACCGGGUUGGACGCACCUCUGGUGUACCAGCUGUGCUGCCAGGUGCAGUGCUGGGUAGCUAUGUGCGGUCAGGAUAAGCGCUGAAAGCAUCUAAGCGCGAAGCCGUCUCCAAGAUGAGUACUCCAUUGAGGGUCGUGGAAGAUGACCACGUUGAUAGGCUAUAGGUGUAAGUGCAGUAAUGUAUUGAGCCGAGUAGUACUAAUUACCCGACAGCUUCCUAAU
rnacentral:rRNA from 1 species